rnacentral:rRNA from 1 species
CCUACGGGAGGCAGCAGUGAGGAAUAUUGGUCAAUGGACGAGAGUCUGAACCCGCCAAGUAGCGUGAAGGAUGACUGCCCUAUGGGUUGUAAACUUCUUUUAUAUGGGAAUAAAAUGUUCCACGCUUGGGCUUUUGUAUGUACCAUAUGAAUCAUGCUCGGCUAACUCCGUGCCAGCAGCCGCGGUAAUACGGAGGAUCCGAGCGGUAUCCGGAUUUAUUGGGUUUAAAGGGUGCGUAGGUGGAUGGUUAAGUCAGUUGUGAACGUUUGCGGCUCAACCGUACAAUUGCAGUUGACACUGGCAGUCUUGAGUACGGUAGAGGUGGGCGGAAUGCGUGGUGUAGCGGUGAAAUGCUUAGAUAUCACGAAGAACUCCGAUUGCGAAGGCAGUGCACUGGACUGCAACUGACACUGAUGCUCGAAAGUGUGGGUAUCAAACAGGAUUAGAUACCCUGGUAGUC